UUCUGGCUCAGGAUGAACGCUAGCUACAGGCUUAACACAUGCAAGUCGAGGGCAGCGGAAGUUAGCUUGCUAACUUGCCGGCGACCGGCGCACGGGUGAGUAACGCGUAUCCAACCUUCCCCUUAGUAGGGCAUAGCCCGGCGAAAGUCGGAUUAAUACCCUAUGUUUUCCAAUGAGGACAUCUGAGCUGGAAUAAAGAUUCAUCGCUAAGGGAUGGGGAUGCGUCCGAUUAGCUUGCCGGCGGGGUAACGGCCCACCGGGGCGACGAUCGGUAGGGUUCUGAGAGGAAGGUCCCCCACACUGGUACUGAGACACGGACCAGACUCCUACGGGAGGCAGCAGUGAGGAAUAUUGGUCAAUGGGCGCGAGCCUGAACCAGCCAAGUAGCCGUGCAGGAUGACGGCCCUAUGGGUUGUAAACUGCUUUUUAUAGGGGAAUAAAGUUUCCUACGUGUAGGAUUUUGUAUGUACCCUGUGAAUAAGGACCGGCUAAUUCCGUGCCAGCAGCCGC
rnacentral:rRNA from 1 species